rnacentral:rRNA from 1 species
CCAAUAGCGUAUAUUAAAGUUGUUGCAGUUAAAAAGCUCGUAGUUGAAUUUCGAGAUCAAUUUGUUGGUCGUGCCUCGGUACGUACUGGCAAUUUUGAUUUCUCCCUUCUGAAGAACCAUGAUGUCAUUAAUUUGGUGUCAUGGGGAAUCAGGACUGUUACUUUGAAAAAAUUAGAGUGUUUAAAGCAGGCUCGCGCUUGAAUACAUUAGCAUGGAAUAA